AGCAGCCGCGGUAAUUCCAGCUCCAAUAGCGUAUAUUAAAGUUGUUGCAGUUAAAAGCUCGUAGUUGAAUUUCGGGAUCAGUUGAUCGGUCGUGCCUCGGUACGUACUGGUCAAAUUGAUUCCUACCUUCUGACGAACCACGAUGUCAUUAAUUUGGUGUCGCGGGAAAUCAGGACCGUUACUUUGAAAAAUUAGAGUGUUUAAAGCAGGCUCGCGCUUGAAUACAUUAGCAUGGAAUAAUGAAAUAGGACGUUUGAUUCUAUUUUGUUGGUUUCUAGGAUCGACGUAAUGAUUAAUAGGGAUAGUUGGGGGCAUUAGUAUUCAAUUGUCAGAGGUGAAAUUCUUGGAUUUAUUGAAGACUAACUACUGCGAAAGCAUUUGCCAAGGAUGUUUUCAUUAAUCAAGAACGAAAGUUAGGGAUCGAAGACGAUCAGAUACCGUCGUAGUCUUAACCAUAAACUAUGCCGACUAGGGAUCGGAUGAUGUUAAUUUUUAAUGACUCAUUCGGCGCCUUACGGGA
rnacentral:misc_RNA from 1 species